GCCGGAAUAGCUCAGUGU
rnacentral:tRNA from 1 species